CCUACGGGUGGCAGCAGUGGGGAAUAUUGGGCAAUGGGCGCAAGCCUGACCCAGCCACGCCGCGUGAAGGAAGAAGGCUUUCGGGUUGUAAACUUCUUUUCACAGGGACGUAGAGUGUGACGGUACCUGAGGAAUAAGCUACGGCUAACUACGUGCCAGCAGCAGCGGUAAGUCGUAGGUGGCAAGCGUUCGACGGAUUUAUUGGGUUUAGAGGGCGUGUCGGCGGGAUCUUAAGUCAGAUGUGAAGACUGACGGAUCAACCCUAAGCCUGCAUUUGAAAGUGUGUUUCUUGAGUGCUGGAGAGGCAAGCGGAAUUCCGGGUGUAGCGGUGAAAUGCGUAGAUAUACGGAAGAACACCAGUGGCGAAGGCGGAUUGCUGGACAGUAACUGACGCUGAGGCGCGAAAGCGUGGGGAGCAAACAGGAUGAGAUACCCCAGUAGUC
rnacentral:rRNA from 1 species